rnacentral:lncRNA from 1 species
GACGUAUCAGUAGAGUUCUGAUAUUUUAUUUGCCUAUGGUUUUUAAACUUUAUACCUUUAGCGGAGUGGACAAUUUUUUAUUUAGCUCGUGCCUCAUCAAUUGUAGGUCAAAUUUUUGAAUUCCUUGUCAAAAUCGAGGCCGUCAUAGGUUCAUCUGGAGGAAAAGGAUAUUUUGCAUCCUCUGACAUGAUAGACACUGGUAAUUUUUCCAUUGAUCUUUCAUUACAUGCUAUGCAUCUUUUCUCGUUCUUCUUUCAAUUAAAAUCUAGGAGAAACUUCUAUCCAUGUCUCUCUUCUCCCCCAUAUUCCUUUCCUUCUGUCUGCUUCAAUUGCAUGAUCUAUCAUAUGAGUUGAUCUGGUGGGUUGUCCAUGGCAGCGGCACCAAUGAAUGGAUCGCUGUUUCUCCGCUUGAUGAUCCAUGCAAAUCAACCACAAGUGAAGCAACUUCUUCUUUCACAAUUCAUUCUCCAGGCCAUGGAAUCCUUUAAGUAACCCUGUGCGCAUGCAUUUGCAAGCCCUAAACCUUGGAUUGAAGCGACAACUCAAAACCGAAGCAAGUCAUAAAUCAGAAUGAGGGUAACUACUAUUCAGUAAGGUUCUCUCAUCCCCCUCUAUCUAUUGAUGCGCACGUACAUGCAUGGAAAGAAGAUUUCGAGGCAACAUUUUCUGUUUACAUUUGAGGAACAUCUGGUGGUUAAAGAAAGCGGUUGAUGAUGCCACUGUUUAUUCCCUGGGUUAGUAAAAGUAGUUUAUGAUAGCAUUAACUCGGGGUGGCUAUUCCACGACCUAAUCAUGAGGAAGAGAACAUAAUAUGAUGGGUUCACUUCUUCCAUAUAACGAGAGUGACAGAUAAUUACCAAGACGGGG